rnacentral:lncRNA from 1 species
GGUGGGGUCUAUAAUGGGCUUCUAUGGGGGGGUCUAUAUGGGGGGGUCUAUAAUGGGGUUCUAUGGGGGGGUCUAUAAUGGGGUCCUAUGGGGGAGGUCUAUAUGGGCUGAUCUAUAAUGGGGUUCUAUGGGGUGGGUCUGUAAUGGGGUUCUAUGGGGUGGGUCUAUAAUGGGGUUCUAUGGGGUGGGUUUAUAUGGGGUGGGUCUAUAUGGGGUUCUAUGGGGGGGUCUAAAAUGGGGUCCUAUGGGGGAGGUCUAUAUGGGCUGAUCUAUAAUGGGGUGUCUAUGGGGUGGGGUCUAUAAUGGGGUUCUAUGGGGUGUGGGUUUAUAAUGGGGUUCUAUGGGGUGGGUCUAUAAUGGGGUUCUAUGAGGGGGGGUCUAUAAGUGGGGUCUAUGGGGGGGUCUAUAAUGGGGUUCUAUGGGGGGGUCUAAAAUGGGGUCCUAUGGGGGAGAUCUAUAUGGGCUGAUCUAUAAUGGGGUUCUAUGGGGUGGGUCUAUAAUGGGGUUCUAUGGGGUUGGUCUAUAAUGGGGUUCUAUGGGGUGGGUCUAUAUGGGGUUCUAUGGGGGGGUCCAUAAUGGGGUGUCUAUGUGGGUUCCUAUGUGUCCCCCUUUAGGGCUGUCUGUCCUCCUGCCACCAGGGGGCGCCGUUGGGUCCCUUUGUAUCCGGGCGCUGGUUGAGUCCUCCAGGCCUCCACGAGGCCCCGUGCUACGAGGCGGCCACAGGCCGGAUGUUGGGCUCGGUGCUGUGGGGGGGGCCCGAUGAAGUGGAGGCCGCCAUCUUGGCGGCGGAAGAGGCGGCUGUUGAAUGGGGGUCAAUGGAGGCGGAGGAGAGAGCACAGAGACUGGAGUGGCUGGCUGAGGAGCUGGAGCGGAAGGCGGAAGCGGAGGCCGUCUCUAUGGGGCGGCCAUGUUGGGCCGGGGCCGGAAGUGACGUCGAUCUGGGGGUCAGGAUGAUCCGGGCGGCGGCGGCGGCCAUUACUGCCCCUCCCCCACAGCUGGAAGGGAGGGGGGCCAGGGGUGAGGAGGGGGGGGGCAAGAUGGCGGCGGUCACGUGAUCAGGGGUGAGGAGGGAGGGGCAAGAUGGCGGCGGUCACGUGAUCAGGGGUGAGGAGGGAGGGGCAAGAUGGCGGCGGUCACGUGACCAGAGGUGAGAAGGGGGGGGCAAGAUGGCGGGUAGUCACGUGGUCAGGGCCCCUCCACCAAUAGCUGGAAGGAGGGGGGGAAUUCAAGAUGGCGGUGGUCACGUGGUCAGGAGUGACGAGGGGGACAAGAUGGCGGUGGUCACGUGAUCAGAAGUGAAAAGAAGGGGCAAGAUGGCGGCGAUCACGUGGGCCCUCGAGUGGUUGGGGGUGGCAAGAUGGCGGUGGUCACGUGGUCAGGGCCCCUCCACCAAUAGCUGGAAGGAGGGAUGUUCAAGAUGGCGGGUGGUCACGUGAUCAGGGCUCCUCCACCAAUAGCUGGGGGGUCAAGAUGGCGGAGUGUCACGUGGUCGGGGUCCUUCCACCAAUAGCUGGAAGGGAUGGGAGGCAAGAUGGCGGGUGAUCACGUGGUCAGGGCUCAUCCAAUAGCUGGGGGCGCGGGGGGGGGGCAAGAUGGCGGAGGGUCACGUGAUCAAGGCCCCUCCACCAAUAGCUGGAAGGAGGGGGAUUCAAGAUGGCGGGGGUCACGUGAUCAAAGUCUUUCCACCAAUAAGUGGAAGGGAGAAGGGUGCAAGAUGGCGGUGGUCACGUGGUCAAGGGUUUUCCACCAAUAGCUGGAAGGGAUUGGAUUAAAGAUGGCGGGUGAUCACGUGAUCAAGGCCCCUCUAGCAAUAGGUGGAAGGGGGGCAAGAUGGCGGGUGGUCACGUGAUCAGAGUCCCUCCACCAAUAGCUGGAAGGGAUGGGAUUCAAGAUGGCGGGUGAUCACGUGAUCAAGGUCCCUCCACCAAUAGGUGGAAGAGAUGGGAGGCAAGAUGGCGGUGGUCACGUGAUCAGGGCUCCUCCCCCAGGAAGGGGGCAAGAUGGCGGUGAUCACGUGAUCAAAUUCCCUCCACCAAUAGCUGGAAGGGAUAGGAG